ANUCGGAAUUACUGGGCGUAAAGCGGGCGCAGACGGUUACUUAAGCAGGAUGUGAAAUCCCCGGGCUCAACCUGGGAACUGCGUUNUGAACUGGGUGACUAGAGUGUGUCAGAGGGAGGUAGAAUUNCACGUGUAGCAGUGAAAUGCGUAGAGAUGUGGAGGAAUACCGAUGGCGAAGGCAGCCUCCUGGGAUAACACUGACGUUCAUGCCCGAAAGCGUGGGUAGCAAACAGGAUUAGAUACCCUGGUAGUCCACGCCCUAAACGAUGUCGAUUAGCUGUUGGGCAGCAUGACUGCUUAGUAGCGAAGCUAACGCGUGAAAUCGACCGCCUGGGGAGUACGGUCGCAAGAUUAAAACUCAAAGGAAUUGACGGGGACCCGCACAAGCGGUGGAUGAUGUGGAUUAAUUCGAUGCAACGCGAAGAACCUUACCUGGUCUUGACAUGUACGGAACCCUCCAGAGACGGAGGGGUGCCUUCGGGAGCCGUAACACAGGUGCUGCAUGGCUGUCGUCAGCUCGUGUCGUGAGAUGUUGGGUUAAGUCCCGCAACGAGCGCAACCCUUGUCAUUAGUUGCCAUCAUUAAGUUGGGCACUCUAAUGAGACUGCCGGUGACAAGCCGGAGGAAGGUGGGGAUGACGUCAAGUCCUCAUGGCCCUUAUGACCAGGGCUUCACACGUCAUACAAUGGUCGGUACAGAGGGUAGCCAAGCCGCGAGGUGGAGCCAAUCUCACAAAACCGAUCGUAGUCCGGAUUGCACUCUGCAACUCGAGUGCAUGAAGUCGGAAUCGCUAGUAAUCGCAGGUCAGCAUACUGCGGUGAAUACGUUCCCGGGUCUUGUACACACCGCCCGUCACACCAUGGGAGUGGGGGAUACCAGAAGUAGGU
rnacentral:rRNA from 1 species